CAAUCCGUAAUAACAGAAACACAUAAAAACAUUUGAAUUCCUCAAUUGUAGUAGAGCUUACAGAAAAGAAUUACUAUGGCCAGUAUGAAAGGGUUAACUUGUUUCCUUCUCAUAAUAUUUGCAGUGUCGUUGUCUAAGCAAAAUGUUUUGGCUUCAGAUGCAGGGAUUGAAAAAUUCUCAUUUGACCAUUGUAUUCAUUUGUGUACGGAUCAUUACGGAUGGUUUGAAUGUAUGAACGACUGUCAGGAAGAUGGAUUUUUUAAAGGUGGACAGUGUGGUUCUCUUGGUAUUGCAGAACCUCUGAAAUGUUGUUGCCAAAAAUAAUCCAAACUUAUAUCAUCUCUCUCAAAAGUGUCAAUUAUAGUGGGCACUUAAUAUGUAUCUUGCGUUUAUUUAUUAAAGUUAUUGGACUUAAUAUGUAUCUUGCUUUUACAAAGAAAUGCAAUGAAAUAAGAAAACGUUUUCUUAUAAAUA